rnacentral:lncRNA from 1 species
UUUUAGGUUUAGAUGAUGUUGAUGGUAAGUUUUAAUCCUGCAAACAAGGCCAUGAAAUGAAAAAGGAUUAAGCUGUGGUUGGUACGGUGGUCAUGAUGUUUGUUUGUGGAAGAUACCGGUGUAGUUAAGGAAACUUAGUGGGAGAGUAAGUUGCAUGAACAGUGUGAUAUCACACUAAAAAUUGUCAAACUAUUGCCUAAGUACUUCAUCAUAAUAUAUCUUAAUUUAAUAAAAUUGAUAAUGUAAUUCUUAUGGUUAUCAAUUUUAUUAUUUAAACUCCUCGCUAAGUGUGACAAUGGGCCAAUACAACAUAUAUAUAUAUAUAUAUAUAUAUAUAUAUAUAUAUUCUUAAGAGGCAUUUAGUAUUAUUCUAAUUUUAUGAAGAGUUUUUUAAAUUUUUAAACUAUUUAAUGAUUAUAAUAGCAUGAACUUUAUACACUAUAAAUAGAUCAAACCAUAUCUUACUUGAGAUGUAAAGAGUGAAAAAUAUAGCUGAAACUCUAAAAUUUGUUCAUGUUCUGAUUCUGCUUAUUUCCAUAUUUCUUGUUAUAAUAGUAUCUAGUUUUAUUUUUCUGCCUUGUAUAACAAAUAAAGAUUGUCAAACUUUGAAAAAAAAUAAGGGUAAGGGUAGAUGUCGUAAAGGCUUUUGUGUAGAUGGCUUGAUAGGAUGAACGAGUUCUUGCUGUAACAAAAGAAUUGUACAACAUAUUCUAUGUUAGAAUAUUCAAGGAGCUGUCAUUUGGUAUAUAUGUAUGCAUCAAAUAAUUGUAUUUUCCCGCUAUUUUAAAAGACCUUAAAGUUACGAUUUUAUACUAUAAGAUAAGAUAAGAUGACUUCAAUGCAAUGAAAUAAAACAGCAAAUAAUUUUAUUUAUAGAUGUCUUCUUAUCUUGUAAAUUUGAAGGUAUCUCCAUGAUUGACAUUCCGGGCAUAUCACACUUUUUAUCUUCCAACCCAACCAUCUAAAAUUAUUCCCUUAAUAGUUUAGUUGAAAGUUAAUUUUUUCUUACUUUAUAUUAAAAAAAAAAUAUUAUCCAUUCAAAUUUUUAGAUGAUGACAUAUUUGAAAAGUGCAUCAUAUCAUUUCAAUUAGGUUACCCUCUCCACAUGAAUUGUUGUUUUCGAGACGACAAUUAAACUAAACUAAUCCUCCUCACAACCUCCUCAAAAUUAGUCUUUGUGAUGAUGUGACAUCUCUCAAAAUGCUUCAUGUAACACCCUGUUUUCCCAACUUAAAAUUUUCACAUAUAAUCACAUAUAAAGCAGAAUGUUUUCAACGUAAACGGAAUGUCACACUACUUUUCAUAAAAUCAUAAACUGA